rnacentral:lncRNA from 1 species
UUGAGCACAGAUGGAACAGGUAAGUUUUAUUUGGACUUUCAACUUGUUCAGAGAGCACAGGGGCCCCUGCCUCCCCUCUCCAGGCCCCCUUCCCCAUUUCCGCUCCCUGGGGACGCUCAGGGUACAAUGAUGUGUCCUUGGCCCCUUCCCCGCCUGACAUACCCCUUCACUCCCCUGCUCUAUAGAGGGGAGGGGUGCAGGGAGGUGGGGCCUGGAAGAGUUGGAUAAGAGCAGGACAUGCGCUGUCGGUAGCGGCCACUGCUCCCCACCCGGAGCUGAGACCUGGGAGAGGCGCGCAGUGGAGCAGGGUGGAUUCAUUGUGGGGUGGCAGGCUUUCGCCGUAGAAGGCUCCCCACCUCAGCCCUGGGGACCCCCUGGCCUCCUGCUUACCCGUCCUUCUGAGGGUACAACUCUGAGGUAGAUUUCACAGAGGAAAUGUAGGUGGGUGGGUGGAGUGUGGGAAGGGGUUAGCUCUUUUGAAGUUGAUCUCCACAGCACCCUGGGCCCGUUCUCAGGUUCUGGCCUGGGAGGCAGGGGCUGAUGACACCCACCCAGCUAACAGAGGCUGAGUCACACAAGGGCUCCAGGGCACCUGUGGUGUCAGGGGCUCCAGUGGAAGAAGGGUUGAGGGGUCAUCUGCCUUGACGAUCUGUGCCUCAGUGCCAGGGGCGCCAGGAGGGCAUGGGCCUGGGAGGCUGGCAGUCCCCUGGCCAUAGGGGCAUGCUGUAGGGCCCUGGCCCUCAGAGAAGCCUCUUUAGGCUAGAUCUUCCCAGUCCUCCAGGAUCCUCCCUCUCCUCUCCUCUCCUCCCCUCCCUAUUCCCCAGAGUGGGCAGAACAGGGAAAGGAGGACAGGACUGGCCUGCAGGGAACCACAAGAAACAAGAUGCCUCCCUCCCCCAGUGGGGGCCCAUGCCAUGAGCCCUAGGCUGGCCACAGGAUGGAGGAACUGGGGUCAGUGCACAGAGCAGGCUCUGGGACCCCAAAGACAGCCUGUGGGUGCUCCCCAGACAGAGCCCCGUCUGAGAAAGAUGGACAUUUGGGGAGGGGUGCAGGAGCUCCUGGAGUCCUCUAACACCUUCCCCCCACCCCAGGCCCAAGCACUGGACACCUUCUUGGAUCCAACCCUGUUUAAGAACAGAAAGGCAGAGGGAGAGGCCUGGGAGGGGUAUGCCGUCCCCAUCCCAGCCCAAGUCCCCACCUCCUUAAGCAGAAACCAGGAGCAUGGGGG